AUCUAUCAUUUUCUAAGUUUAUAAUGAUUUAUGAGUUUUAUGAAUUUUCUGGGUUUUGUUCUAUGAUGUUCUUCAUUGUUCUUGAGUAGUCUUUUCAGAUUUCUUGAGGAUGAGUUAGGUUUAGGUGGAUUCCUCUGUUCUUUAGCUAGAUAAGUUUAUAAAUGCAUAAUUCCCUACUGUUUUAGGAGUUCUUAAUGCUAUUUUCUUUCUGAUCAAUUGAAAAUUGAUUUCAAACUUUCUCCACCUAACCAGUGCUUGAUGAAAUGUCUGAACCAACUAAUUUCAGAGAUUUGUAGAUUCUAGCCCAAGACCUUGGAUGUUUAGACUGCUUAUUGACUUUAAUAGAUUGGGGUUUAAAGCCUGCUUUGUUAAGUUUCAUCAAUGAAAAUUGAGAUUAGGAAGUGAUAAAGUUAUGAGAGUCAUUGUCACGAAAGUGGAUUGAUUUGGUUUUGAAUCUAUUGUCUAGGGAUAGCUUGAUUGAGUUUGUUAGUUAGCUAAUGGAUUGAGGAGUCCACUAAGACCAAUUACCCCAUUCUUAAGAGCUCUGUUUCGUUUUAUUGUGCAAAACUCGUGUUUUUAGUACUCUGUUCGUCUCGUGCAAAAUUGGUGUUUUUAGUAUUGUACUCGACCUGUUUAGUUGUUUGCUCGACCGAGUGCUUGACUUAGUGAUUAGUUUACUUUCUGCUCUUGCUAUUUGAGUUCUUUAUUUUCUGCUUAGUAUAGUUCUGUUUCUGAAUUUGAUUUGCAUGUUAACCUGUUGCUUAGGUUUAGUAGAAACACACCAAACCUAUUCACUCUUGGCUUAACUUAGUAUUCUCUGAUCACAUCUUGAUUGAUAGCAAUUACACCCAUUUGGAUUGACACCUUAAAUGAUGCAAUGACAUAAGAUGCAUUUAGGGAAUUAACACACCGAAAACCCUUGUAUCAAUUUGGCGACGUUGUCGGGGAUUGAUAGUAGGAUUUUUCACAUGUGUUUAAAUCCAGAUGAUCAAUUCCCUAACACUAUCAUGUCAUUGUAGUAUUUAGGGUGU
rnacentral:sRNA from 1 species